rnacentral:lncRNA from 1 species
UCGGGGCCCGAGGCUCAGCCGCUCGCGGUGGAGAAAGCAGGCCGCGGAGGAGGCGGGCGCCCAGGCCUGCCCGGACAGGAAGUGGGCCCAGCUUUCCCACUCCUCGCUCCGCUCCUUCCUCCGCGGGAAGGGCAGGCCCCGGAGGCAGCGAGCGCCCCGGGGGUGGCCGGGCAGCCGGAUGCUCCCGGGGUUGCGGGCUGUGGCCCCGGGGGCUGAGGGCGGCGCGGGUGCGGCGGAAGCAGGGAAGCCGCGAACCGGCCUUCUGGCUGGCCACAGCGCCCUGCACGGACGAUCAGUGAAUGGAGAUUACUCAAGUAUUUAUCGAGAACUUGCAGUGGGCUAGGCACAGUUCAGGUCCACAGUUAUUUCACUUCUAAAUAAAUAUGGUUUUUUAAAAGUGGCACGCGGUGGAAUGUAAUUGAGACAGGAUGGAGUUCCUAGAGAAAUUUUACUUCCUCAAUCUGCACUCCACCUUACUUAAAAUACAGUCUUGGGUCUGUAAUUCCCUUAUCUGACUCUCAAGGAAAUGACAAAGUAAUGCCUAGAUUGGACUAAACCUCAUUUAACUUCAAGGCUGACCUUUCUCAAAGUUGAACCUUCGUCUUGUGAGGAACAGAAAGAUCAAGAACUCUGAAGCACCUCGACUUUCCACCUGUGAAGAUGUGUUCAAAUUUGCAACGUGCGGCCACACCUAUGAGGUCACUCCCUCUGGAGGAAACCAGCUGCCACUUUGUGAGGAUACUCAUAGUCCUGUGGAGGCAUAUCCUCCAUAUGGCUGAGACCUCCUGCGAACAACCAUCACUGACUUGCCAGACAUGAGUGUGCCACCUUGGAAGCAGAUUUUCCAGCCCCAGUUAAGCCUUCAGAUGACAUCAGCCCCUGCUAAUCUCUUGACUACAACCUCAUGAGAGACCCUGAGCCAGAACUAGCCAGGCUUACCCCUCAUGGUUACAAAGUGGCUGCAACAGCUCCAGGUGUUCUAUCCUUUAACACAGAAUAACUCAAACAACAAGACCCAAUAUUCAGACAAGAAGGAAAGGGACUUUUGGAGAGUGAAGAAAACUUUCCUAGAAACCUCAAACUUCUCCCCAUGCCUUAUUGGCCAGAUUGUAUCCCAUGCCCAUUUCUAAACCAAUCAUUGGCAAAGUGAGUGGAAUUGACGUGAUUAGAUUAACUUUACCAAGAAUGCAUCCUCAGAGAGGCUGAGAAAAAGUCCAGCCUCCUUUGAAGAGCCUGGCUACCUUUCACCUGAACAAAACAAGAAUUCUGAUGAAAAAUGGAGAAUGUAUGUGGAGCAGGCACCCGGAGUGUCUAUGCCAGGAUUUUUUUUCAGUGCGUUUCACCGGUUAUAUUUUUGUCUCUUUACCUUACAAGAUAUGUGGCACGUUUGCCUAAAACAAGCCUUGCUUUCUGAUUUCUGUGCACUAGGCACUUAAACCUUGCAAAUGUCGCUUACCUAACAGUCACUGUCAAGGAGUACCUGGCUAAAGAAUCUCCAGCUAGACAAAGUAGAAGUGUCUGUGCUCUGGCAGUUGAAUAUAUUGUAUCAGGCUCAACAGCACCUUUCACCAAAGGAUGAGACUUCACAACCAUUAGAUCUUCUUUUAUUUUGUUUUUAUUAAAAAAAAAAAUUUUAACACACCAUUGCUAACUUGAAGCCAUUAGAUCUUCUUACCCCCAAUACCACAAAAGUUUAGUGGAAUCAGGGGUAUACCAAGGCAGGUGGAGUAGGGGAGCUGGGAGUGGUCAGCCCCCAGGGCAGGCAAUGAGGGAUUGUGAAUCUGUGAAGAAUUUUAAAGCAAUGAUACAGCUCUAAAUGCAAUGUACUAUCCUGGACUUAGCCCUGGAAAAGAAAAAAGAUAUUAGUGGAAAAACUGGUAAAAUUCAAAUAAUGUCUGUAGUUUGGUUAAUAGUAUUAUACCAAUGUUAAUUUCUGUGUUUUGAUAAAUGUACCAUGGUUAUGUAAGCUGGAUGAAAGAUAUGUGGGAAAUCUCUCUACUAUUUCUGCAACUCUCCUGUAAACCUAAAAAUGUUUCAAAAUAAAAGAUUUAAUGCUAAAAUUGA